CUGAGCACCACCUUGGCCUUCCCAGGACUGAGACCCAGCCAGCCCUGUGUCCUUAUUCUCUCUGGGUGUGGGGCUGGGUCAUAAACCCCGUGUCCUCUCUCCACCACACCUGCAAGUCCAGUGCCCCCUCCAGCAUCCCCCUCCCUCCUGUCCUCUGCCUGGUGGCUGGGGAGGCACACAGCUCCGGCCUUCUCCCUAUAGACAUAAAGGGGCAGAGUGAGGGAUGUUUCUAGAUGCCCGAGAAACCCUGAGUAAAGGCAUAGCUCAGGUGUGGUGGCCACUUUGACAUUUAAGUCAGUCAGGAACAGGUGACUGGAGUCUUAACCACGGACUCUGCUUUCCUUGACCCAAAGGUCCCUGGCCCCGGCAUCCCCCAAUUACUCCUGAUUAUGCAAACAUUUGCCAUGAAACAUCAGCUGGUCAACCGCUUUUUUUCUUUUUUCCCAAAAUGGAAAUGUCUGAAAUGUCCCCUUUGUAUAAGAGCAGCUCACAGUCACGAUGAUAGAGUGACAUAAAACCAAGCCACACAGAGUGGGAAAUGCCUGACUCCAGCUACAGCCCGUGCUGCCCCCAGGGUCCACCUCGGCUCCUGUGUCCCUCACAAAUCCUUCCCAGCACCCCCGGCUCCUCUCAGCCCUUCUGGCCACUCGGCCCUUCUGGUGAGCCUGGCCUCUUUGGUCUCCAGACCACGUUGAAGAAUCUUGGCAAGGGAAGGGCGGCUCGUCCAAACUUCUGUCUGCUGUGACAGCCCCAGCCAGGGCAGCUGACAGAUGGCGAGCUCCUGAUGGAUGAGCCGGGCAGCUCACUACCUUCUGGGGCAGCCCUUCCACUACAGGGCAGCUCUAAUUGCAG
rnacentral:lncRNA from 1 species